rnacentral:RNase_P_RNA from 1 species
UCGCUUCAUGCCGGGCGCAUGAAGAGGAAAGUCCGGGCAACACAGAGCACCAUACUUGGCAACGUCAAGCCGGCGGCAACGUCGGGGUUAAUGUGACAGAAAACUACCGCCUGCUGCGUCACUGACGGGCAGGUAAGGGUGAAAAGGCGGGGUAAGAGCCCACCGGAUACCAUGGCGACACGGUAUGCCGCACAUCCUAUGGGUUGCAAGGCCAAAUACACCGGCAGCUAAGGGCUGCUCGUCCAUUGCCGGGGGGUAGGCUGCUCGAUGCUUGGCAUCGGAGCCGUCUGGCGACAGACGGUCAAGAUAAAUGACAGACAGGAUUGUGCUUCUUUGAACUCAUCCUACAUAACCCGGCUUAUAUCUCAUCUGCAUUC